rnacentral:rRNA from 1 species
GACGAACGCUGGCGGCGUGCUUAACACAUGCAAGUCGUACGGUAAGGCCCUUUCGGGGGUACACGAGUGGCGCACGGGUGAGUAACACGUGAGUAACCUGCCCACAACUUUGGGAUAACGCUACGAAACUGGUGCUAAUACUGGAUAUGUGCUCCUGCUGCAUGGUGGGGGUUGGAAAGCUCCGGCGGUUGUGGAUGGACUCGCGGCCUAUCAGCUUGUUGGUGGGGUAGUGGCCUACCAAGGCGGCGACGGGUAGCCGGCCUGAGAGGGUGACCGGCCACAUUGGGACUGAGAUACGGCCCAGACUCCUACGGGAGGCAGCAGUGGGGAAUAUUGCACAAUGGGCGCAAGCCUGAUGCAGCAACGCCGCGUGCGGGAUGACGGCCUUCGGGUUGUAAACCGCUUUCAGCAGGGACGAAGCUUUUUGUGACGGUACCUGCAGAAGAAGCACCGGCUAACUACGUG